AAGAUGGUUCCUUUAGGAACCAUCAAAAAUAAUGAAUGAAAAAUAA
rfam:Canis lupus familiaris chromosome 3, whole genome shotgun sequence.